rnacentral:rRNA from 1 species
AUUGAACGCUGGCGGCAUGCCUUACACAUGCAAGUCGAACGGCAGCACGGGAGCAAUCCUGGUGGCGAGUGGCGAACGGGUGAGUAAAGUAUCGGAACGUGCCCAGUCGUGGGGGAUAACGUAGCGAAAGUUACGCUAAUACCGCAUACGAUCUAUGGAUGAAAGCGGGGGAUCGCAAGACCUCGCGCGAUUGGAGCGGCCGAUAUCAGAUUAGGUAGUUGGUGGGGUAAAGGCUCAACAAGCCGACGAUCUGUAGCUGGUCUGAGAGGACGACCAGCCACACUGGGACUGAGACACGGCCCAGACUCCUACGGGAGGCAGCAGUGGGGAAUCUUGGACAAUGGGCGAAAGCCUGAUCCAGCCAUGCCGCGUGCAGGAUGAAGGCCUUCGGGUUGUAAACUGCUUUUGUACGGAACGAAAAGGUUUGGCCUAAUAAGCUGAGCUCAUGACGGUACCGUAAGAAUAAGCACCGGCUAACUACGUGCCAGCCGCCGCAGUAA